CGUAGGAGGCGAGCGUUAUCCGGAUUCACUGGGCGUAAAGCGCGUGCAGGUGGCUUGGUAAGUUAGGCGUGAAAUCUCCCGGCUCAACUGGGAGAGGUCGUCUAAUACUACCGGGCUAGAGAGCAGAAGAGGAAGAUGGAAUUCCCGGUGUAGUGGUGAAAUGCGUAGAUAUCGGGAGGAACACCAGUGGCGAAGGCGAUCUUCUGGUCUGUUUCUGACACUCAGACGCGACAGCUAGGGUAGUAAACGGGAUUAGAGACCCCGGUAAUCCUAGCCGUAAACGAUGUGAACUUGACGUUGGUGGGUUAAACUCCAUCAGUGCCGAAGCAAACGCGAUAAGUUCACCGCCUGGGGACUACGGCCGCAAGGUUA
rnacentral:rRNA from 1 species